AUGGUUGGUUACUUGCUGACAAGGUACAUACAUACAUAUAUCUCUCUGUCAUCCGUGGGGUUUGUAUGUAGACACGCCCUGUAUGAAUGUGAAUGUAUAUGCUUCCAUCCACAAACUAUUCGGAACCAGUGUGGACGGCGUUCUCGCAGGUUGCUUGAUUUCUCGCCGAGACAUAUGCAUAAUAAUCCAUCAGUGAACGGGGAAAUAAUCCAAAGCAAGCAAGAAUAUGAGGAGGCCCGCAGGUCUAAGGCUCGGCAUAUCCCAAAGAAAACAAUGGGUAAUUCGAGUUUGGUGUGUUGCUAA
rnacentral:rRNA from 1 species